rnacentral:rRNA from 1 species
CGCGUAGGCGGUUUGGUAAGUCAGAUGUGAAAUCCCCGGGCUUAACUCGGGAAUUGCAUCUGAAACUGCUUUUCUUGAGUCCUGGAGGGGGUAGUGGAAUUCCCAGUGUAGCGGUGAAAUGCGUAGAUAUUGGGAGGAACACCUGUGGCGAAGGCGGCUACCUGGACAGUGACUGACGCUGAGGCGCGAAAGCUAGGGGAGCGAACG